AGGGGAAUGGCUGGGUCGAAUGGUUGUUCCAUUCCCUGCUUUCCAAGGAAUCUCCAUACUGCUUUCAAAAUUGGCCACACCAAUUUGCAGUACCACCAGCAAU
rnacentral:pre_miRNA from 1 species